rnacentral:lncRNA from 1 species
CAGUCUUCUCCCAAUAUCUGUGAGCAUCAUUAUGAGAUUUUGUUUACACUCUUUGUUGGGUGCAACCCAUCAGGCAUCCAUUGACCAACAGAGGACUCCCUGCACAGCACACCAGAAUGCCUAAGUGAUCCAGGCAUCUAUACAAUUGAAGAUAGUUGGACUGGACCUCUGGGAGGCAGUGGAACUAUGGAAGCAGCCCCCUCCCCCUCCCCUAGUGGUGGCAAUCCAUAACGUGGAUCCUCACAGCAGCA